UACGAAGGGGGCUAGCGUUGCUCGGAAUCACUGGGCGUAAAGCGCACGUAGGCGGCUUUUUAAGUCAGAGGUGAAAUCCUGGAGCUCAACUCCAGAACUGCCUUUGAUACUGGAGAGCUUGAGUCCGGGAGAGGUGAGUGGAACUGCGAGUGUAGAGGUGAAAUUCGUAGAUAUUCGCAAGAACACCAGUGGCGAAGGCGGCUCACUGGCCCGGUACUGACGCUGAGAUGCGAAAGCGUGGGGAGCAAACAGG
rnacentral:rRNA from 1 species